rnacentral:tRNA from 2 species
CGAAAUCGGUAGACGCUACGGACUUAAAAUCCGUCGACUUUAUAAAUCG